UCUGAAUCCUAAGCGUGAGGAACGAGCUGAAGGCUUGUGACAUGAAAAAUAGAGGCUAGUGUUAGGAUCGUUGAUCUUUCUUCUGUGUUUAUAUGGAACUGAGCUCAGCUUUACCUUGUUGCACAAAAGCAAUUACGCAGGAAGAAGUACAAGGCUAAACUUUUACCAUGUCAACUUGAACUGUAAUACGUCACUGAUGUCGAUACAAGGAACGUUAUGUGUUUCUCUUCUUACACGUUUGAUUAACGGGAGAAUAGAAAGAAGGAAAACAAGUGGAAGCUGGAGGACCAAUCAGAGGACUAGAUGAAUACAAUAAACUGUUUUGGAAUGUGUUCAAUAAAAGAAUUGUUAGAGACCGCACAUCUACAACAUACUUGUACGUUGUAUUAAAUAUCCAAAAUGUCCAAGUCUUCACUUUGUACUGGCUGAAUCUGCAGAAACAGAAAUCAGAGCACUGAAGUAAGUUUCAAAUCAGACAUUUAUCAAAACGUACCAUAGAAGUAAAAAUUGUGAUCGUGUUUUCGUAACUGUAUUUGUGAUAAAGCUACUAAGCCUAUUUAACUACUUACUGACCAGAGAGAAGGAGGCAACUGUUCAGAAGUACCCUACCA